UACGAAGGGGGCUAGCGUUACUCGGAAUCACUGGGCGUAAAGCGCACGUAGGCGGCUUCUUAAGUCAGGGGUGAAAUCCUGGAGCUCAACUCCAGAACUGCCUUUGAUACUGAGAAGCUUGAGUCCGGGAGAGGUGAGUGGAACUGCGAGUGUAGAGGUGAAAUUCGUAGAUAUUCGCAAGAACACCAGUGGCGAAGGCGGCUCACUGGCCCGGUACUGACGCUGAGGUGCGAAAGCGUGGGGAGCAAACAGG
rnacentral:rRNA from 1 species